rnacentral:lncRNA from 1 species
GCUGCCUUAUACGCAACCAUGCUAUUGGUCCAUCUAACUUAGCAUCUUCAACUCUGACUGGCAUUGUCUGCCACAAGCUCCUUGCUAGAGUGAGCAUCAGAGCUUGGGUGCUUUUUAGGAGGCUAAAACAAUUGAAACUUUAUGUGCAAUGGAGAAAACAUGGUGGGAAGAUACAGCGGACCCCUUUUCCAUCCUGGAGUUUGCUGGCAGUUAGAAAGGAGUGUGGGAGCUUACAAUGAAAAGAAAACAAAGAUCUAUACAAGUGUUCCAGCAUUUUUCAAUUCUGGGUCCCAUUAUGUUGUUGGACUCCAAUAAUAUUUAGGUAGCAUGGUCAAUGGCCAGGGAUAAUGGGAAUUGUAGUUCAGUGCUAUAUAGGGAGCCAAAGUUGAAAAAGGCUGAUGUAUACUAACAGUGUCUUUUACAAAAAUAUAUUGUUAUUGUUCCGUCAUAGAUAGGGCCCAUCAGAUUUGACAGGUGGCAGAACAACCAGGACUGAGAUUUCUUUAUGGUUUAUUUCACAAGCCUCCACACUCAUUUCUCAUUUCUACUGCUUUCUUUUUAUCCUCAGGCAGAGCAAGGGGGCAGAGCCGGGAGGACUUUUUGAAAUCUGAAUUUGUUCCCUCCUUCCUCAAAACAAACACAGUUUUCACCCUGAGAAAAGGAGGUAAUAAAUAUUUUGGAACAAGACAAGUUACACUAGUGGAAUGCGCUCCCCAGGGAGACUUGCCAGACACCAUCUUUGUUUAGUUUUAAGUGACAGGCAAUACUCCCCCCCACCCCCGAUGCUUUGGCCUUCAACUCAAAGGUUAUUGUGGCCUCUUUUAAUCUAUAGGGUUAUAUUUUAUGAGAUAAGUAAUUAGCAAAUACAAUAAUAAUAAAUAAUAGUAGCUGUAAUACAGGGCAGCUCUCAGGUUUUUCCCCCAAGCUGUGAUGAUAUCAUCUGUUGGCGUGAUGAUGUCAGAAGUGAUUAUGUCAUCUGCCAGAUCAUCCUUGUUCUGACAACUGAAUGAGGCAGCAAUACAAACAUUAUUCUUCAAAAUGAUAGCAUGGAGGAGGAUUCUCAUCCAAGGAAAGCUUCUGUUUGGUUUCUGUGCUCAUUCUCUGACUUCUGCUGUACUUCUGCUGCCUUUACUACAAUUUGAAGGCCUUGUGAUCACCUCAUUCAUUUGCCAAAGCAAGUGGAAGCCAUCACUUACCAUGGUACUCUGGCAGAUGAUGCCAUUGCUCCUGCUCUCUCUCUCUCUCUCUCUCUCUCUCUCUCUCUCUCUCUCUCUCUCAUAUCCUGGAGCUGCACUCCCUUGCUCCCCAGGUCCUGCUCCACCACACCAUCACAUUUAAAAUAAAUACAAAUGCAAGUUUCUAGCUCUCCUGGAUGCAUAUGAAUAAGGAGUAAUGCAUGCAAAAUUAUUGAAAUUAAUCCAGCAUGCAAAUCUAUCAUUGUGUUUCAUUUCUCUCUUAAUGAACUUUAUGCCAACCAAGCACGGCUGGCACAUAGUUUAUUAGGGGAGAACCUAAACACAGUGAUAGAUUUGUAAACUACGUUAAUUUCAGUGGGGCUUUUGCAUGCAUUAAUUGAUGAAGGAUUGUAAUGAUCAUCACAUCACAGCAGGAUUGUGGUUUAGCAAGAGCACGAUUGUUUUUUGUUUAAUAUUCUGAACAUAUUUGUACACUUCUAAUUGGAGUAUUCCAAACAGAUCCAAGGCUGAAAUUAAUUAAGUCUUGGUUCUCAUAAGGUAAAGGCAUGAACAAGGGCCAUGUAAGAGACAAAGAAGAAAAAUGAGAGUUACGGAGGCAUAGCUCUACUUGCGCACCAUCAUCAAGCAUGUGUAAUGACUACCCAUUUCUUUUUUAAGGAAAAAGCAGCUGUCAGGACUAAUAGGAGCUGUAGUCCAGCAACAUCUGGAGAGUCACAGGUUCCUCAUACCUGACAAGAUAGCCUAUGAGCUUUUCAAAUGGGAAAUUAAGCACAACUAUGCAUGAGAGCCCUUUGCCCUACAUAAUGAGGGUUAGGACAGGAAGGCUGUUGAUCACUAUGCAUUCCCAUGUUAUGCUGCUUUAUUUUAUACAAAGAGGAGAGAUGUAAACCAGGCUUCUGCGGAAUGUCCCCACUAAGCUGAAUUUUAAGGCAGCAAUCACAUACAAUAGCUUUAUCCAUUCAGCAGUUCAAAUCCAUAUUUACCCUCCAGCCUCCUGAUCAGCAUUGGAAUUUUCUAGCUUUUUCCCUCUUGUUUAACGUUGCUGCAAAGCUGUCCAUCAGGACCUCUGCUGGCUUCCGCAGAGCGCCAUUAAUAAAGUCAGUGAAAUAGAGAAAUGGGAUCCUUCUAGAACUGCUCAGAUUGUGGUGUGUGUGUUUUCACCCCUGUGAAACCAGCUGGGGUGCCCGUGUUGUGGAUAAAUGCAGUGAUGAAUGGUGGGUCAAAGAAGGAGCAGGCUGAUUUCGCUCCAAGCUUGACCCUGUCUCAGGUCUGACGUUUGAAAUGACAGGUGCAUUAAAAAGUUAUUUGUUUGGAGUGGGGGAAGGGGAGUCAUUUGCAGUGCUUGGUGGACGCGGCACCUGGCCUAGCAGGAAAAACUGGAAGAAAAGUGAUCCAAGUUCUUUCCUGCGUACAGUGCAAUCUUUUCUUUAUGAAGUCAGCUACUGUGAAAAUUCAUGGACAGGUCAAUGCACCAGGUCAGCGGCUUCUUCUCGCACAUAGGGAGAAUAAAUGGGUUAGUUGUAGUCUCCUUAUUGAGCUAGUUGUGUGGGAAGGAACUUUAUAAUAAUCCAUCACAAAUAAUCCAGCUAUUUUAUCAUUGAUUUCUCAAAGCAUCCCACCCCCUCCUAUUUAGAUUUAAAAUGGGCUCACGAAACCUUGGAACAGGUGUUCACAUUUCGAUAUCUGAUUGCUCCUUGCAAUCUCGAAGUUUCCGUUUGCCAUCUGUAAAGUGGAGAUAAUAGCAACCUGUCUGUCAGGGUUGUUGUAAAUCAUCCAAAGCACAGAGGUGUGCAGAACAUUUUGUGGAGAGAGUGGGCUACGUCUUUCCAGGGGAAGGAAAACUCCAUUCCUCCCAUCUCAGCAGUGUGGUGUAGUGGUUAAGAGCGGUAGACUUAUCAUCUGGUGAACCAGGUUCAUGUCUCAGCUCCUCCACAUGCAGCUGCUAGGUGACCUUGGGUUAGUCACACUUCUCUGAAGUCUCUCAGCCUCAUUCACCUCACAGAGUGUUUGUUUUGUGGGAGGAAGGGAAUAGGAGAUUGUUAGCCGCUUUGAGACUCCUUAGGGUAGUGAUAAAGUGGGGUAUCAAAUACAAACCCCUCCUCCUCCUCCUCCUCCUCCUCCUCCUCCUCCUCUUCUUCUUCUUCUUCGGCAUCCUCAAUUUUGACUUUGUCCCACACAAUGCCUUAGCACUCUUGCACCUCCAAGAAGAUAUGGGUGAAUUUGUCAGUUUGGGUGUCUCUCAGUUUCUUAUUUUCCCCAUUGAAAUUUCAAUUAUCUACAUUUACAUACCAUUUUAUGGAUUUUUUAAAAAAAGAAAAAGUAAUUAUGAAGAGUCAUCAACAUUUGUGUGUGAAUGUCUCCUGAUGUACACAAUUUUGGGUGCAUUUUUGCCUCAUUUACAAAUUUUUGCAAAGCAAUUUCCCAUAGUACAAUGCAUUUUAAAACAUUCUUUUCACUAAUAUAUGCAUUUCAAUGUAAAAUUUACACUAGUAUAUGCAUUUUUGUACACAUUAUUAUCAGGAGGACUUCAUUGCAAAAUUCAGAGAACUGUGAACUUUGAUGGGCUCCUGUGAUUUGGUUCACACAUUGUUUCAGAAAAUUAAAAUUGUGCAGGUUCACCUUCACAUGUGAACUAAAUUGAAUUUAUUUCCCCCUUCUGUACAUCAGAUUCACCUAUGCCAGCUUGUCACUAUUCGCGAGGACAGACUAAAGCACAUACUGGAGCUUUGGGUUUGUGCAGUCAAAGUGGAUUAAAGAGCUAAUGGAAAGAUGUAUAAACACUCCACAAGGUAAUUUGGAUGAAUGCAUGACAAACGCUCACUAAAGACUGGAUAUGGUCUAACCUUCACUUACGCAAAUCAGGAUGAACACAAAUCAGGUAUUCAUUGGGAGGGAGAUGGCCUUCAUCUGCAUUAGCACCAGAUGGAAUUCUGUAGGUGCUGGUAUGAUCAGCAGAAGCACCCCAUCCAAGACUGCCGUGACCUGGGCCAUCUCCCUCCCGAUGAAUACCUCUCCCUAAUUAAAUCAGGCAAGUGCCAACUGUGGGCAUACCUGCUGAACGCACACCUGUUCACCUAUGCCUUCUGUGACCUUUGCUAUUGAUUAAUACCAGUUGCUGAAGUCCUUGGUCAUUGUUAUGAAUUUACUGGUUUUAUUGGUGUUUAUUUUUAUAGGAUAUUGCUAUUUUUUAAUAUUGCACCAGCCACUUUGAUAUUUCUUUUGCAGAUGAAAAGUAGCACAGAACUAGGCGUUGAGGCUAGAUCUUGCGGUGCUUUAGAACAGCCUCUGGACAGGCAAAUGAAACAGUGGAUGUGCUUUCAGCAGUCAAACCAAGCAGCUUGGAGUCCCCUGGUCUGGAGAUUGCUGGAAGAAAUCCAUGCGUAGGAAACUGCAUUUCACCAAGUCAGACCAUCCGUCUACCUAGUUCAAUAUGACCUACAUUGACUAGAAGCAGCUCUCCACAGUUUCAGACAGGGGACAUUUCCAGGCCUACCUGGAGAUGCUGGGGAUUGAACCAGGGACCUUCUGCAUGCAAGGCAGAUGUUGUACCACUGAGCUACAGCCAUUCUACAGAAUUAGCAUCAUGGCGGAACUCAGCCUUGAGGCAUGCUGAUUCAUUUCCACAGAGCUCAAGAAGGAAAUAUUCACAAUGGAGUGAUCCUCUUAUUUGUGACUACAGUGGUACCUCUGGUUGCGAACGGGAUCCGUUCCGGAGGCCGUUUGCAAUAUGAGCAGAAUGCAACCCACGUCUGUCCGUGCGUGAGUCGUGAUUCACUACUUCUGUGCAUGCGCGUGACAUAAUUUUAAGCGUCUGUGCAUGUGCGAGCUGCGAAACCCAGAAGUAACCCAUUCUGGUACUUCUGGGUCGCUGCGGGACGCAAGCUGAAAACGCGCAACCUGAAGCAAACGUAACAUGAGGUAUGACUGUACAGCGUGAGGCUUUUAUUCUAGACUGUACAUAGCAUUGUGGGAGGAAAAAUCACUCCUGUGUAGUCAGUAAGCAUAACUAUGAACUGAAUGAUUUGUGGCAAGACUCCAGAGGUCAUAUGCUGGGACUCUAUCCUCUGGUGAAUUUAACUUGGUCACAGGGCAAUCAAAAUGAAAAGCUGUUUGACUGCUAUUUGAUUCCACCAUGUACCGUAAGUGCAUCAGAAUAUCUGGGGCUUGUGUUUAUUUUGCGUAUCUGUCCCCUAGUCAUAUACAUUUAAUGGAAUCAAGACUUCUGAUUUACACUAAAACAAGCCUAUUUUCUUGUGGGAUUUAUGUCUUUGGCACUAGACACCCCUGCACCACACAGCAGGAUAUUUUUUUUUAUCACUCUAUUUCUUUUUCCUGACAUAUGUUUUAAUACCAGUGGCAGGAAAAGAAAUGUAAGAAGCAGCCCUUAUACCUGAGCAUUUUACAGGAUCUUAAAGCAAGAUUGGAUGCAAAACAGUGUAUGCUUUAUUAUGCUAGUGGAUCAGUCCUUUGUUAGGUAAAUUGGUCGUAACUAAUAUUGGUCAUAUGGCAGGAGAUAAUGGUUAGGAGUGGGAUGAGGAAACUGUGACUCUCCAGAUGUAAUUGGACUUCAACUCCCAUAAUCCCUGACCAUUGGACAUGCUGUUUGGAACUGAUGGGAUUUCAGAGUCUGACAACAUCUGGAAGGCCUUAGGGUCCCCAGCCUUGGGUUAGGAGAUGGAUAGAAAUCUCCCAAUGCAUUUGUGUGAGGCACCCAUCAGAGAGAAGGUGAUAUUCCCUCUAAGUGAGGGCAGGAAGCAGAUUUGUUUGUUUGUGUCUGUGUGUCCCAUCAGCCUCAGCCACCAUGGCCAGUGAUCAGGGAAGAUGUGAAUUAUGGAAGGCAUCUCACCGGUUAUCCCUGUGCUACUUGAUUUAAGUCAAAUGUUUUGGCUGCAGAACAACACACAGUGGGGAAAAUAGCUUUUCUUCAUUGUUUUGUUUUUGAAAAACAAACGAACAGCCCAAAUUGGUUAGUUCUUCACAUUUACCCAGUUCCAAGUUUUGUGGAGAAAGGGAAAGACGUGCUCAGCCUGUGCAUUUAUUCAGCCCACUGCCUUUCAUAAUAUACAGUGUUCAUUUACAAAUGCACCCAUUGUGCGGAUGCAUAUGGGGAUGCAAGUUUCCACCAGGGAAAAAUCUUAAAAUUCAUUUCUCUCUCUCUGUCAAUUUCAACCCGACUUCUUUCUCUUUCCCCUCCAUUGUUAUUAUUUUUUACAUGCAUUUACCUAAGAGGAAAACAAAUAUUGUUUUCCCCACCCUGCCAGCUAGGGUUGAGUUGCUUUCCUAGCAGAUCUCGAUUUCCCUGUGAAUUGGCAGCCAUCGAUACUGGACAAACCACCGCUCAGUUCCGUGGCUCAUAACACUCCUGAAUAAGCCCAAGCUGCUUCUUCAAUGUAUCUGACGAAUGUCCCCAAAGAACACCUUACAGGCUGGUUCACUACAGCUCUCUUAGCAGCAGAAUUUGAAAUGAAACAACAUUUGUUAUUAAGCCAUGAGUGUUAUUUUUAAGGCUGCCAAAAGCUGAAAACGGGCAUUGGAGAUCUCUGUUGUACUUACACAAAACAAUGAGGGUCUCACGCUGAGGUUGUUUACUGCUUUGCCUCAUGAUAUGACAAGAUGGAGUAUCGGUCGGGAAGAAUAUAACCCACCCACCCCCGGCGAAACUCUUUUCUCUGUAGUGAGUACAUACAGACAUAGAAAAGGACCGUUCCUGAAGUGACACUUCAGAAGCAAGUCUCUCCGCAGCAACUGAUUUAAUGGGCCAUUUGGGAGAAAUUGAUGCGGCUUUCAAUAGAUAACUGAUAUGGCUACUUAAAAAAACAAAACAAAAUCCCACCACACAAGCUGGUGUAAGUACUCCCAGCAUACAAAACAUUCCUGCUAAAUAUAUAGCUCAGUAGUAAAUAUAUACUGAGGUAGAGGUGCUGUAAAUACCUUUAGGUGGCAGUGAUUAAUAUAACACCUAGGUCUGUAAAAGUCAAGAGAAUGUGGAAGGAACUGUGUGGAUUAGGAGGUAAUGGUCUUAAACAUACUAUUUAGGGUAUAUACGCCUGUGUGUUUGUGUGUGAGAGAGGAGGGGUCCCUCAGAGUUUGGAAAGCUGUGCAUUCUUUUUUCAGACACAGACUUUCCCUGCUUAGUUGAUUGAGAGGCUUUGCACUUCUUCAAAAGACUGGUGCAUUCAGUGGACAAGACUAAUAGUGGGUCCAACAGUCAAGAAGUCAGGAAAGUGCUUUCUGCACAUGAUGUAGAGGGAAUACUACUAUGACUGCUAAUUUUAUACCCCGCCCAUCUGGCUGGGUUUUCCCAACCACUCUGGGCGGCUCCCAACAGAAUAUUAAAAACACAACAAAACAUACAGUGGUGCCUCGCAAGACGAAUGCCUCGCAAGACGAAAAACUUGCAAGACGAAAGAGUUUUUCAUUUUUUGAGUUGCUUCGCAAGACGAAUUUCCCUAUGGGCUUGCUUCGCAAGACGAAAACGUCUUGCAAGUUUGUUUCCUUUUUCUUAAAACUGUUACAGUAAUACACGGUGCAUUGCUUGAAGAGGUGCAGUUGCGACUUGACUUCGGGGAGCAACUCAUAGCACGUGGUGUGGUAGCCUUUUUUGAGGUUUUUGAAGACUUUGGUGAUUUUUGAAGCUUUUCCAAAACUUCUUUUGCAGCCAUUUGGUAAGUUAAACUUUUAAAACUUUUUUUGGGGGGGUUUGGAUUUUGGGUUAAUAAACUCUUUUUGUACCAAAUUUGGCUUUGUUUGGACUUUUUUUUGACCAUAGGAACACAUUAAUUGAUUUUCAAUGCAUUCCUAUGGGAAACCAUGCUUCGCAAGACGAAAAAUCCGCAAGACGAAAAAUUCGCAAGACGAAAAAACUCGCAGAACGAAUUAAUUUCGUCUUGCGAGGCACCACUGUAAAACAUUAAAAAUUUCCCUAAACAGGUGUCUUCUAAAAGUCAGAUAGUUGUUUAUUUCCUUGACAUCUGAUGGGAGGGCGUUCCACAAGGUGGGCGCCACUACCAAGAAGGCCCUGUGCCUGGUUCCCUGCAACCUCACUUCUCUCAGGAAGGGAACUGGCAGAAGGCCCUCAGAGCUGGACCUCAAUGUCCAGACUGCAUGAUGGGGGUGGAGACGCUCCUUCAGGUGAGGGUAGAUGACAGUGCUAUCUUCUAGGGGUGCUCAAGGGUACACAGGGCUGGCACCUUUUCCCCUCCCCAAACAUUAAAAGUGUGGCCCUUACUGUAACAACUGCAGUAAGUGCAGAUGGGGCUCAUCAGUCUGGGAAGGUAGCCCAUCUAGGAGAAGGAAAACUCUGAUCCUAAACUUCCACUGCCUUGCGGGACAUUUUUGGGAGAAGAAAUGGCUAAAGUGUAUUAUUACUAUUAAUAACAAUUCCUGCUAUAUGUACUGUGGUUACAGUCUCAAAAUAUCCAUAACAGUGGUUCUCCAAACUGCUUCACAUAACUGUGGUGAAUAUUAUCAUGUGUUGUAAACAAGUGCUCACUUAUUGGUUCUGUGGGAACGCCGAGACAGUUUAUAGUAGCUUCCAGAUGCAUGCUUGCCAUGAGUAUGAGAUGUACCUCAUGAUAUUUUACUGUGGUCGUCAUAGAGAUACACCUUGAAUAAAUUGGAUUUUGGUCCCUGUUCUUCCCUGCCCCUCCCCUGGCAUGCAAAUAUCCUUUGGUUUUCAGCCCUCUCGGGACUGGUGGCAGCUAGAGGAAUAGGCAUCUUAAUAUGUUUGAGUGAAUCAGUGAAUAUAAGAAUAUUAUACAUUUUCUGUUCUUUCAUAAAUAUUUGGUGCAUAACUCUCCGAUCUCUGGGCAACCCGUCUUACCCAGGACACGUUUGUGUAAAGCUGUAAAACCUACCCAAUAACUGGAAACAGUAAAUCCAGAAAUUGGCACAUCAAUGCUCAUAAGUAAGGGCAAGACCUUUCUGUCAAUGUUCAUUUACAGAACAAAUGCUGGGGGACUAUUCUCAGCGGAGCUGUAAAUAUCCCCAUUGUACUAAUGUACUGGGAAUCAUUGCCCUAGGCUAGCGACUGUUUUUAAUUGGAACUCUGGAUUAGUGAAAUCAGAUGAACUGAGCAGCAUCACAAAUAUUUUAUAUAUUUGAUGGUGCUGAUACUAUUAAUAAUAUAGCAGUUUUCAUAGACCCCCACAACUACUGAUUAAGCUGCUUUACAUAGUUGUAAUACAAUAAAAAAUACAAUUAAAAAAGAGUUUAGUUUUCAUUUAAAAUUUUCAUUUAAGCCUAAAUUUAAAAGGCGGGGAGGAAUUGGAAAAGUAAAUAAACACCAAAGAUGGUUGAUUUGGGAAUCCUCCAGCAGCACCUGGAUUUUUUAUUUUAAGAAAAACAUCCUCCCUACUGGAAGUGAAAAUGCUUCAUGAAUGGGAGUGAAGGAAUAACCCAUAUAUCCAGUAUAGUAAUGGUGGUAGAGGGGAAAUCUCUGGAUUGCAACCUGACAGCUUUAUUUUGCAGUUACUUCUUAAACUAUUAUUAUUAUUAUUAUUAUUAUUAUUAUUAUUAUUAUUACUGCAACAGACCCUGGCUUGGUGAGCAAACAUGUGAAGACACUGUACAGUGGUACCUUGGGUUACUUACGCUUCAGGUUACAUACGCUUCAGGUUACUUACGCUUCAGGUUACAGACUCCACUAACCCAGAAAUAGUACCUCGGGUUAAGAACUUUGCUUCAGGAUGAGAACAGAAAUCGUGCUCCAGCGGUGCUCCGGCAGCGGGAGGCCCCAUUAGCUAAAGUGAUGCUUCAGGUUAGGAACAGUUUCAGGUUAAGUACGGACCUCCGGAACGAAUUAAGUACUUAACCUAAGGUACCACUGUACCUGUAAAUGAGAACUGAAUCCACACAUCUGGAAAGCAGGAAGGCGAAGUCUUGCUAUGGAGGCAGUGGAGGUUAAGGAAGAAAAAGCCCUGCUCCCACACAGAGAUUGGACUCCUUGAGAGUUCAUGGAAAACUUUCCAGCAUACACCUGAGCUUGCAAAUUCAUUGUGCAAUAUGUUUAAAAAGGAGAGAGAGAGAAGUGCAAAGAUAGAGGGAGUAUUGCUCAGCCAGCCUAAACCAGAGCGUGUACCUGGACAGCUGGUACUUUUCAAAGUGCCUUCAUUUUAUAGCUAUCCAUCAUGCACAAGGGAGAGCAGCCAAGCCCUGAAUUGCAGAACUAGUACCUUGGGAGUGUUCAGCUGUGAAACCUGAGUUGGCAGCACAGAUUUGCCAUAUGAAAAAUGCUCGAAGGGUUUCCCUCCCUCCCCUUUAUUUGAAGGAAGCGAGAAGGGUUCACAGUCUCUGAAUCAAUUCCCAAAGAAGAGUACUGUAAUUUUUGGCAAGGAAACAUCCAACAGGAUGUAUUUUUAAACCAACAAGAUCCCCUCAGAAACAUUUUGAACUUUGGGUCUGAAAGCUUAUGGAGAUCAGUUAAAGAAGGUGAUGAGUCUGCUGCUCACAUUACAUUUUGUGCCAGGAAAAUGUUUUACAAAAAUAUGUACCGGUAUACUGAGGGAACCUGCUUAUGAAAAUGUGUCCAUUAGGAGAAAUUUGCUCUAAAAUCCUGAGGCAUGUUCAUGAUGACUUUUUGAAGAAAAUUUGAAAACUGGUGUAGAAAUGAACUUAAGGUUGGAAAAAUUAGAAAGCUAAAUUGGAAUAUUCACUCUUCGCCAUAGUGGACCUGCCAAUUUCACCACCGCCCAGCAAAGAAACUACUGAGGGCAAAACAACAUGUGAUGAUAAUAGGGCUUUUGAAAAGGCAUGCCUAAGCCAGAAGGUUUUUUUUUUUUGGGGGGGUGCACAGUUGUGAGCCCCAAUCCAGAAUAUGCUCCCAACCCAAAUCUGGGAGCAUGCGCCAGUUUCCCACUGAAAGCCACCACUGUGGCAGGGUGCAGUAAACAAUACCUUUGCAGGGCAAGUAACUUGCAGAAAUCUGUGUGAUGCUUGGCUGGAGAUUGCCAUGGUCUCCGAAUACAAAUCCCCCCUUCAGAAUGAAAGCAGAUGAUUUAAGUGUGUGGUGUAGUGGUUAGAGUGGUGGACUAAGACCCAGAAGGUCAGGGUUCAGAUCCCCACUCAGUCAUAAAGGUGACAUUCGGCCAGUUAAAGUCUCUCAGCCUGACCACAGUCACAGUCUCUCAGACUAACCACAGUCUCUCAGCCUAACAGCCUUACAGGGUUGUUGUGGGGAAUAAAUAAGGUGGGUGGGGAGAACCAUGUACACCACCUUGAGCUCCUUAGAGCAGGCAUAGGCAAACGCGGCCCUCUAGAUGUUUUGGGACUACAACGCCAUCAUCCCUAGCUAGCAGGACCAGUGGUCAGGGAUGAUGGGAAUUGUAGUCUCAAAACAUCUGGAGGGCCGAGUUUGCCUAUGCCUGCCUUAGAGAAAGAGGUGAGAUAUAAAUGCAACAAACCAACAAACAUUAAAAGGCUGCUUGCUAUAACUAACAUUUGGCCCUGGAACCACCUCAGACAUAUGUGUAUUCAAGGAUUUACUACUGAGGAGGUUGUUUUGCAUUUGUUCACUCAUGCCAGAGGGCAAAUUGGGGAAAGCAUGCGCAUCCUGGGGAACUUCCAUGCACCUCACUAAGGAAGCCAACCUUUCGCUUUGAGAAUUACUGCCGUUAAGCCCCAUAGUCGGCUCCAAACAGCAAUUCUGAUUUAAUCAGGGUUCCGCAGUCUGUAAGUCCAUAGGUAAAUAAAGCAGCCGCUAUAGUUUAUCAUUUAUUUAUGAACCUAUUUGCGGCCGGUGUUUUGCAUAUUAAUCAGCGGUUCUCCAUGUGGCAAUUCUGUAUUGAGAAGAAAAGGCGGGGGCCAGAAAUGGCCCGCUCCUUGCUAUGUGACUUCUCUUGCCCCUGGAUAAUAUGCAAAGAAUUAGAUUAGAAAUAGCCUUAUGAAUAAAUGAUGAAAUCCCGAGUUAUGUAUAUAUUUAAAUGGCGGUGUCACUCUUGAGAACACAUGGGAAACAGCUUCCCUACUGCCCCCCCGACCUGCCUCCACCACAUCUUUUCCACCACGAGGCCACAACGGAAAACAUCGUGUGUUAAAAUGUGUUUGUCUUGCUUUAGGUGGAAAAGAAGCACAGAGCAUCUGAGGUGAAGAAGACACCCUGAGGACUGACCCAAGGCUGCUGUUGUCACAGAAGACCAAGUCACAGGCCGGGAAGUGCCGUAUGCUAUUUUUAACCAUGUGCCCAACAUAAUGGGGUGCCAGGAGAAAGUCAAUGAGUGGAAGAUUACAGUGUUCUUGACCACAGAUGAUGAGGACAGAACCCACCACUGUGACACACACCAGCUUAGUAUACAAAAUAUGUAGUGUCUCUUAUGUUAAGAUGAGAAUAGUGACAUGUUUCUUUUUAAAACCCACCUAUGUAUGGAUAUUUCCCAGAAUGGGUAGCUGUGUUAGUCUUUUGCAACAAAAGCAGUGAAGAAUCUUGUGGCACCUGAGAGACUAACACAUUUACUUAGGCCAGGGGUGGGGGAGAAACUUGAUUCUGUUUGCAUUUUGAUGAGAAAAUACACAAUUUGCACUUCUGCAACCAGUUACUGAACUCAAAUCACUGAGGAAGCGCUGUAGCUAAGCAGCAGAGCACUGCUUUGCAUGCAGCAAGGCCAAGGUUCAAUCCUCAGCAUUUCCAGGAAGGGCUAGAAAAGCAUCUCUGCUUGAAACACUGGAGAGAAACUGCCAGUCAGUAUGGACAAUAUGGAGCUAUAUGGACCGAUAGUUCGAUUUUGUAUAAGGCAGCUUCUGUUAAAGAAAUGUUUCAUAUGCAUAACAUGUAAAGUUUAUAUACACUGAGGUUUGGAGGAAAAAAAACUUAUGUAAAGGUUUGCAUUUGCAAAGUAGAAAAGUUUGUAUUAGGCAUGAGAGGUUUCACACUGACAAAUGCGGCAGAAAAGGUUGAAUGUUUCCGUUUCAGUCUUUAAGCUCAUCGAUGACUCAUCCUGGACACCUGAGCUUCAGAUCUCUCACAACGGGAAGGUGAAACCUGAGACUUCAGCGUCUCUGUCAGCAAUGGAGCUUGCAACAGAAACAGUAGUGGUUUCACUCUGCAAUGAUGGAUGAGCAACUUGCGUAGGAUCUCCCUUUCUUUCUCUGGGACUGGAGAUGAGAACGUUCUUGUACUAAAUCAAGGACUAAAAAGAAGAUGGGACCGCAUUGCUUGUUUGAUUAAAAGCAAUGAGUUACUUUGUAUCUUGUAACAGUUUUCCAGGACUAUUUUAAGUUCAAUAAAGCUUUGAAACUUU